GAUUUGGUGGGUUGGGCAAGACAACUCUCGCCAAAGCAGUGUAUGACAAGAUCAAAGUGUUGUUUGAUAGUGUAGUGUUUGUUUCCGUGUCUCGGAAACCUGACAUGACCAAGAUUUUCAAGAAGAUCUUAUAUGAACUUGACGAGAACAAGUAUGCAACCAUCAACGAAGCUGCUAGGGACGAUGGACAACUCCUCGAUGAAUUGAGAAAGUUUCUUCAGGAUAAGAGUAUGCACUAUAUAUGUUUGAUGUUUCUAACCGAUUAGUCCUUUAUAUUAAUUUCUUGAGACGUACGUAGCAGCAAAUAAUUAUAAUUAUUCUUUCCAGGAGAGCAUGUAAUGCUAGCUGGUGAAUAACGUGUCUGAAUGAAGUUUUAUUUUGGUUUUAUUAAAUGGAUGCUGUUAUCAUGCCUUACAAUUGUGUUUUAUAUGCAUCUUCCAAUUAUAAACUAUACAUGUUUCUAAGUGAUUAAUAUUUUCUAUAACUUUCUGCCGACUUCUAGACGAAACAUAUAUAAACCUAGUUAUGUUGGUUGAUUUGCAAACUAACACACCAAAAACAAUUGAGGUACCUCAUUGUAGUUGAUGACACAUGGGAUGAAAAAGCAUGGGAAUUUAUCAAGUGUGCUUUCCCCGACAACUGUCUCGGUAGUCGAGUAAUGACUACCACCCGCAUAGGCAGUAUCUCUAGAGCAUGUUGCUUUUCUGGUGGUGAUAUAAUAUAUCAGAUGAAACCUCUUACUGAGGAUCACUCCGAAAGACUCUUCUAUAAAAGAAUAUUUCCUCAAGGAAGUAAGUGUCCUGCUGAAUUGGAGUCAUUAUCUAAGGCAAUCUUAAAGAAAUGUGGUGGAGUACCACUAGCCAUCAUUACUAUUGCUAGUAUUUUAGCCAGUAAUGGUGAAGAUCAACAGGUGGAGCCAAAGUAUCAGUGGGACAUCAUACUUGGUUCUAUUGGUCGUGGACUUGCAGAAGGUGGUAGUGCAAAGGACAUGCAGAGAAUAUUGUCCUUUAGUUAUUACGAUUUUACCUUCCCAUUUGAAGACUUGUUUAUUAUAUCUCAGUAUAUUUUCAGAGGAUUUUGAGAUAAGAAGAGACCGGUUAAUAUGGUUGUGGAUAGCCGAAGGGUUUGUGCAAGGUGGAAAACAAGGAACUACAUUAUUUGAGCUUGGAGAGAGUUACUUCAAUGAGCUCGCAAAUAGAAACUUGAUUCAACCAGUACAUUUUGAUGCUACCGGCAAGGCUGAAGCCUGUCGCGUGCAUGAUAUGGUGCUUGAUCUGUUAUGUUCCCUGUCUAGUGAACAAAACUUUGCUACAAUAUUAGAUGGUACUCAACAAAGCAAAUCUAUUUCACACAGCAAGAGUCGCAGAUUAUCUUUUCAAAAUAGCAUGUCAGAGCCCACCAUCAAUCAGGUUGAUGCCACAACUAUGCCACAAGUGAGGUCCGUUGUUCUCUUCAGAACAGAUAUUGAUCUAAUCAGAACUAUUUCAUGCUUUCAAGUUUUGCGUGUAUUGGAUUUAGAAGGUUGUGGACUUGGGAGAGAUCGCCACCAUAUUGAUCUCAGGUAUAUUGAGAAUUUAUUACACCUAAGGUAUCUAGGGCUAAGAAACACUUUUGUUCCUGAGCUCCCCAUGGAAAUCGGAAAGCUACAGUUUUUGGAGACACUCGACUUAGCAAAAAAUGGAUCAAGUGUAGCAGUGAUUCCGCCAAGUGUUGUCCGUCUAAAACGUUUGAUAUUCCUAGAUGCACAAGAUGCGGUGUUACCCGUUGGCAUCGGGAACCUGACGUCCUUAGAAGAGCUGACUGGAGAAUUGGUGGAUGUGAAAGAGCUAGGGCAACUGGUCAAGCUGAGAGUGCUCUACCUUUUUUGGGAAGGGAACGAUGAGAGCAUGUGUAAUUCUUUGGUGGUGUCUUUGGGCAAGCUGCAGAGAAUGCAGAGUCUAACAAUUUACGGUUGUGCAUGGUGUGCAAGGUCUGAUGUCAGCUGGGAUGGUUGGGUGCCCAACCCACAGCUUCGCUACCUUUGGUUUAGCAGAUGCACCACCACAUUGCCUAGGUGGGUUAAUUCAUCAUUGUUUCCCCUCCUCUCCUUCAUAAAUAUUUCAGUGGACAGUGUCCAGCCUAAAGUCGACAUUCAGAUCCUCGGGAUGUUUCCCGCUCUUCAUGUUCUCCAGCUUUGGGCCAACACAUCUCAGUACACUCGUGUUGAAAUGUUCGUCGUUAGUGCUAACGCAUUCCCAUGUUUGAGAGAGUGCAUCUUCUCUGGUUUUCUCACGGUGCCAUCUAUGUUUCCACGAGGAGUUAUGCCAAUGCUUCAAAUCAUGUCGUUCGAUGCCGGAGCGUCGGACAUUGCCAGUGGUGAGCUGGAUGUCAGCAUGCAUGGGGCACCUUCCUUCCCUCCGGGAAGUCACGGUUUACUUUUUGCGUGAGGAAGGCAGCUCUUCGGAUAAGUGCAAGGAGGAGGCGGAUAUUGCGCUGAGGCAUGCAGCGGACACCCAUCCCAACCGUCCCACCCUUCGUAUCAUUCGUGAGUCCUUUCUCUUAGGUUUCGUCUGUAGAUUAUGGCUCAAUUCUACUUCUCCAAACAAUGCACAUGGUGAUUGCUUUAUUUUUCUUAGAUUAAGCCCAAUGACGACGACGAUCCCGUGUGUGCCGGUCAAGCUCCGGUUGCGGCUUGGCUUCUUCUGCAACCAAGGGUGAAGCUUUUCUGAAGCAAAUUCUGGCAAAUUCCCCAAGCCAGGCCACCCUGAUCCCGCAAUUCCUACAGAAUCCAUCGCCCUCGAGCUGGACCUUGCGGAGACGACGACAAUGACGCCAUGAUGCGGGCGUCUCCUUCUCCCCUGUCAAGCUGGCUUACUUCUGCUCCGCCCUCGCCUCGGCCGCCACCAUGGGUGCCACUGCCACCUCCCGCCAGAUCCCAGGCCUCCGUCCGGCGCGUCCUCCCUGGCACACCGUCUACAGGGGCACCAUCAUAGUCUUGCUGUGCUUUAGCUUGGUGCUUUCUCGUGGUGUUUGAGCCCAUCGUACGCUCUAGCUAGUUAGAUGUCAUCUUGUAAGAAUUGUGCGGUCCAUGUGGGAACAUAGCUGUUAUUUCAGUAUGAAGAAACAUAUGAAUCUGUAACCGGAGAAAUACUAAUUCCUACAAUGAUCUUGUUUUAUCUUAAUUUGUCAUAAUUUAGUUAGGUAUAUAUACGUGUUCUUAAUUAUCUUCUUAGUUUUGUCUAUAUUAUCAUGCAAUCUUCUCUCUAGCUUCUGUGUUGUGUGUUCUGUAACCCUCUUCAGUUAAUGCUUCUGAACUUGCACAGAUAAGUUGGUCUGCUUCUGAAUUUGUUGAGUUGGGUUCUUCGUUACUCUUGUAAUUUGGCACCGUUGGAUUGAUCUUUCUGUUGUUCCAUUCCAAUGCUCCGCGUGUAGUAGAUUGCAAAUCAAGUUCAGCCAACUGCUUUUGCUCCCUGAACUAGUUAGUGCCUUGCAAAUGCAGUUGUGAUUUCGCUGGACAACGACGUCGUCCUGCAGCAGCACCGGGAGAAUUCAAGAACAUUGGUUUCACCAUGCAUGAUUUGCUAAUAAUAAUUUAGUACUCCCUCCGUCCAGAAAUACUCGUCGGAGAAAUGGAUGAAUCUAGAUAUAUUUCAGUUAUAUCCAUCUAUCCGACAAGUAUUUUGGGACGGAGAGAGUAGUAACGACACUAAAGCCUGGAUGACCGACGUCCAUGUGUCUAUGUACGCAUGCAUGAUUUGCUAUUUGCUUUUUUUUGUUUUAUUUACUCUGUUGUGUCUAUGUACGUAUGCUUUCAUCGUGCAGCAGACUACUCUGUUUUACUUACUGAAUUUGUGAAGAGCUGAUCAUCACUCUUUUGUCAUGUGCACGCCUGCCUAUGUGGUUUAUUCUUUAAGAUGUUGUGAUGUUUUAGGCAAAAUGGACUGAGGAGAAAUAAAUAAUUAGAGAGUAUUAGUACGUAGUAACACCCAGCCCAGCCAUGUUUGUAGCUUUGCAAGUCUGUGUCUGAAUGUCCACACUGUCAAGCAUUUCUUUAUCACUUCCGCUUCAAUAGACCCCCUCAACACAAGAAUGACCGUGAUUGUCCGGUACCUCGUAAUAACACAGGGCACGAUGGGCAUAUUUUAAAAAAGAGGCCGCCCGCCCACUCGCCUGCCGGAGCGUAUACGUAUACGAAUACAAAUUUUUUUCAGUUAUCCCGCCCGCCCGCCCGCCCGCUCGCAGAUAUUUGUCGGUGUGAUCGUUGGCGCGCAUGCAGGGAAGUUUUCCCACCCGCCCGCGUUCGCCGUGCCAGCCCCCAUUCAAUGCGGCUGCAUGAGAUUCGGUUGCCGGGCGCCGCCCCCGUCCCAUCGGGCACCGUUGCUGCCCGACACCGUCGCCAGCUCGCCUGCCGGUCAGACAGCCCCACCGGCGCGGAUGCGCAUGCCGCCUCAUCACAUCGCUACUGGCCACAGCCUGCCGCCUGCCGCACGCCACCGCUGCCGCUGCCAUGCAUGCCGGCCGACAGCCCGGCGGUAGUGGUGAUGCCAUUGAUCCUCGCCUCAAGGCGGUGUAUAAAGAUGUCACGGAGCUCGUUGGGAUAGAUCAUGUAAGAGAUGAGCUGAUCAAGAAGUUGUGUGAUAGUAAUGAGAGGUCCAAGGAGCACUUACGGACCAUGUCUAUUGUUGGAUUUGGUGGGUUGGGCAAGACAACUCUCGCCAAAGCAGUGUAUGACAAGAUCAAAGUGUUGUUUGAUAGUGUAGUGUUUGUUUCCGUGUCUCGGAAACCUGACAUGACCAAGAUUUUCAAGAAGAUCUUAUAUGAACUUGACGAGAACAAGUAUGCAACCAUCAACGAAGCUGCUAGGGACGAUGGACAACUCCUCGAUGAAUUGAGAAAGUUUCUUCAGGAUAAGAGUAUGCA
rnacentral:lncRNA from 1 species